rnacentral:rRNA from 1 species
AUUGAACGCUGGCGGCAGGCUUAACACAUGCAAGUCGAGCGGAAACGAURSSAGCUUGCUSSYAGGCGUCGAGCGGCGGACGGGUGAGUAACACUUAGGAAUCUACCUAGUAGUGGGGGAUAGCUCGGGGAAACUCGAAUUAAUACCGCAUACGACCUACGGGAGAAAGGGGGCAGUUUACUGCUCUCGCUAUUAGAUGAGCCUAAGUCGGAUUAGCUAGAUGGUGGGGUAAAGGCCUACCAUGGCGACGAUCUGUAGCUGGUCUGAGAGGAUGAUCAGCCACACCGGGACUGAGACACGGCCCGGACUCCUACGGGAGGCAGCAGUGGGGAAUAUUGGACAAUGGGGGVAACCCUGAUCCAGCCAUGCCGCGUGUGUGAAGAAGGCCUUUUGGUUGUAAAGCACUUUAAGCAGUGAAGAAGACCUAACGGUUAAUACCCGUUAGCGAUGACAUUAGCUGCAGAAUAAGCACCGGCUAACUCUGUGCCAGCAGCCGCGGUAAUACAGAGGGUGCAAGCGUUAAUCGGAAUUACUGGGCGUAAAGCGAGCGUAGGUGGCUUGAUAAGUCAGAUGUGAAAUCCCCGGGCUUAACCUGGGAACUGCAUCUGAUACUGUUAAGCUAGAGUAGGUGAGAGGGAAGUAGAAUUCCAGGUGUAGCGGUGAAAUGCGUAGAGAUCUGGAGGAAUACCGAUGGCGAAGGCAGCUUCCUGGCAUCAUACUGACACUGAGGCUCGAAAGCGUGGGUAGCAAACAGGAUUAGAUACCCUGGUAGUCCACGCCGUAAACGAUGUCUACUAGUCGUUGGGUCCCUUGAGGACUUAGUGACGCAGCUAACGCAAUAAGUAGACCGCCUGGGGAGUACGGCCGCAAGGUUAAAACUCAA